rnacentral:rRNA from 1 species
GCGGCGUGCCUAAUACAUGCAAGUCGAGCGGACAGAUGGGAGCUUGCUCCCUGAUGUUAGCGGCGGACGGGUGAGUAACACGUGGGUAACCUGCCUGUAAGACUGGGAUAACUCCGGGAAACCGGGGCUAAUACCGGAUGGUUGUUUGAACCGCAUGGUUCAGACAUAAAAGGUGGCUUCGGCUACCACUUACAGAUGGACCCGCGGCGCAUUAGCUAGUUGGUGAGGUAACGGCUCACCAAGGCGACGAUGCGUAGCCGACCUGAGAGGGUGAUCGGCCACACUGGGACUGAGACACGGCCCAGACUCCUACGGGAGGCAGCAGUAGGGAAUCUUCCGCAAUGGACGAAAGUCUGACGGAGCAACGCCGCGUGAGUGAUGAAGGUUUUCGGAUCGUAAAGCUCUGUUGUUAGGGAAGAACAAGUGCCGUUCAAAUAGGGCGGCACCUUGACGGUACCUAACCAGAAAGCCACGGCUAACUACGUGCCAGCAGCCGCGGUAAUACGUAGGUGGCAAGCGUUGUCCGGAAUUAUUGGGCGUAAAGGGCUCGCAGGCGGUUUCUUAAGUCUGAUGUGAAAGCCCCCGGCUCAACCGGGGA